rnacentral:rRNA from 1 species
AUUGAACGCUGGCGGCAGGCCUAACACAUGCAAGUCGAACGGUAACAGGAAGAAGCUUGCUUCUUUGCUGACGAGUGGCGGACGGGUGAGUAAUGUCUGGGAAACUGCCUGAUGGAGGGGGAUAACUACUGGAAACGGUAGCUAAUACCGCAUAACGUCGCAAGACCAAAGAGGGGGACCUUCGGGCCUCUUGCCAUCGGAUGUGCCCAGAUGGGAUUAGCUUGUUGGUGGGAUAACGGCUCACCAAGGCGACGAUCCCUAGCUGGUCUGAGAGGAUGACCAGCCACACUGGAACUGAGACACGGUCCAGACUCCUACGGGAGGCAGCAGUGGGGAAUAUUGCACAAUGGGCGCAAGCCUGAUGCAGCCAUGCCGCGUGUAUGAAGAAGGCCUUCGGGUUGUAAAGUACUUUCAGCGGGGAGGAAGGGAGUAAAGUUAAUACCUUUGCUCAUUGACGUUACCCGCAGAAGAAGCACCGGCUAACUCCGUG